AAGCAGAGCAAACAUCAAAAGUUGAUAAGAGCCAGACAGAGUGCUUCUUCUGUAUGGAGCUGGAUCAUUGAAAAAAGAUUUGUCCUGCUUAUAUAGCCAUCCUUGACCCAAACAGGCCUAAAAAUAAGAGAAAGAAGCAAGCAGUUACUUCACAAGGUACUUAUAUGAUAACUUCUUAUAAUUUUUCUAUUUGUGAUACUCCUAUCUGAGUAUUGGAUACCGAAAGUUUUAUUAAUA
rnacentral:lncRNA from 1 species